rnacentral:rRNA from 1 species
AGCACUUUACCUGAUUUCCUUCGGGGAUGAUUGUUCUGUGACUGAGUGGCGGACGGGUGAGUAACGCGUGGAUAACCUGCCUCACACAGGGGGAUAACAGUUGGAAACGGCUGCUAAUACCGCAUAAGCGCACAGCACCGCAUGGUGCAGUGUGAAAAACUCCGGUGGUGUGAGAUGGAUCCGCGUCUGAUUAGCUAGUUGGCGGGGUAACGGCCCACCAAGGCGACGAUCAGUAGCCGGCCUGAGAGGGCGACCGGCCACAUUGGGACUGAGACACGGCCCAGACUCCUACGGGAGGCAGCAGUGGGGAAUAUUGCACAAUGGGGGAAACCCUGAUGCAGCGACGCCGCGUGAGCGAUGAAGUAUUUCGGUAUGUAAAGCUCUAUCAGCAGGGAAGAUAAUGACGGUACCUGACUAAGAAGCUCCGGCUAAAUACGUGCCAGCAGCCGCGGUAAUACGUAUGGAGCAAGCGUUAUCCGGAUUUACUGGGUGUAAAGGGAGCGUAGGCGGUCCUGCAAGUCUGAUGUGAAAGGCCGGGGCUCAACCCCGGGACUGCAUUGGAAACUGUAGGACUAGAGUGUCGGAGGGGUAAGUGGAAUUCCUAGUGUAGCGGUGAAAUGCGUAGAUAUUAGGAGGAACACCAGUGGCGAAGGCGGCUUACUGGACGACUACUGACGCUGAGGCUCGAAAGCGUGGGGAGCAAGCAGG